UUUAAGAUUCAUAUUGAGAGUUUGUUACUGUAUCUUCUAUUAAUGUACAGUGCAAUAAUUAAUAUUAAGUAAUAAUAAGCUUUUGUUUUUAUUCUGAAACAAAUAAACAAAUAAGUAAAAUAAAAUCAAUGAAUUUUCAACGAGGAAUUGUUAAAAUAAUAAUAAAACUAAUUGACUUCCAAAGUCUUGUUUCUCCUCUAAAAUAAAUAAAGUCGGAUGAAACAGCCAUUGACAUCGGCACAAAAAUCAGAUUCUGAGGAACGAAAGAUGCUCUACAAGAAAUCAGCGGUGCAUUUGAUACUAGUCCUACUGCUAUCAUUUUCUCUACUCUGGCCUCCAUCUUCCACAACAAACACUCACUUAACCGUGAAGGAGAGGAAUGAAGUGAUACAGAGAAAUCUAGCAUCAGGAAAACCACCUUCAUGUCCUCCACAUGCUUUUUUUUGUCAUGCUAAAAGUAAUUUUGCUCCUCCUCGUGAUCAUGGUAAGUAAGUAGUGCCCUCAUCCUUCACGCUGUAACCCAAAUUAAUGGUUAUUAUUCAUCAUAGCUUGUGAUAUUGUAUUCUUAUGUUUUUCAUAUUUCCCGUUUUGCUUAAAAGGCUUUAUAUAUUUCAAAUAAAUUUAGGAGUUUAAAAUUUUAUAUGAUGUGUAUUUUAAUAUAUUCAUGUAUUUGUAUUAUGUUUAAAAUAUUUAAUGAUUGUAGUGUAUGAAUAUGAGGUUUAAAGGCUUCAACCUUAA